UAUCUGGGUAAACUGUAAGAAUUUGGUGCAUC
rnacentral:piRNA from 1 species